GGAGCCUUUAGAGGAGAGGUGCAGAGCACGACACAAACGCUGCUGAGUGUUCUGGAAGUUAUCCAGGAAACAAUCCAGAACAUGACCUCCACGAGAAGUGAGGGGUUAUGAGGUGAGCACUCGUUGCAGAUCCGGGGUUCAGGAAAGACUCAGCGCUCACAGGUAUACUGAAAAAAAUUUCCAAUUCUCUUCAAUCUGAAGAAAUACAUCCUACAAGGCACAUCA